ACCCGUUAAUAUGUUGGCCCAAAUAUUACACAAAACCCAUAUUCCAUUCAUCCAUUCUCACCCAAAACCCUAGACAACUUCUCCUCUCCCGUUCAUAUGUCUGCCACCAUGGUUUCAGCACCAUAUUCGCUGAUGCGCAUCCUCCAAACCCACCAUGGUCGCCACUGCGCAUCCUCUCCAAACCCACCAUGGCCGCCGCUGCGCAUCCUCCAAACCCACCAUGGCUGCCGCUGCACAUCCUCCAAACCCUAGAUCUGAUACUGGAGCACUCUAAAUAGGUAUGUAUGACGUCGUUUUGUAAUCAAUCAUGCUAUUGGUUUGUUCAUUUUUUUAUUCAAUUACUACAUUAAAUCGUUUUAGGCUUUCAAAAAAAGUGUAAAUAAGUUCAGGUGUCACUCAAUGAGGGCUUCUUAGACUCUUUUUCCCGCUCAAUGCCCGAGAUAUGGGAACCGGGUUAUGUAACCUACGGCAAAACUUGAAGAGAGAAAAUGUGGAUCGAAGAACGACAAAAAUUCAAGCCUGUAGGUGAUGUUAAUGAAUUUCCUUAAGUGCAUACCAAAUAAAUAUGAGUUUAAAUGUAUUAUAGCAA